AACGUAGGAGACAACCGUUAUCCGGAGUUACUGGGCGUAAAGGGCGUGUAGGUGGUUGUGUAAGUUCGGCGUGAAAUCUCUCGGCUUAACCGGGAGUGGUCGUCGGAUACUGCACGACUAGAGGACGGUAGAGGCGUGUGGAAUUCCGGGUGUAGUGGUGAAAUGCGCAGAGAUCAGGAGGAACACCCGUAGCGAAGGCGGCACUCUGGGCCGAUACUGACACUGAGGAGCGAAAGCGUGGGGAGCGAACAGG
rnacentral:rRNA from 1 species